UCCUCCUGUAGGAGGCAGAUGGGGUCAGACAGGAGGGAGGCAAGGAACAGAGCCAAGGGCAGAGGUGGGACAGUGGGCUGGGAGGUGGCGAGGAGGCCCUUUAUUGAGGGGCCAGCUUAGAUCCCCCAGCCCCAAGGUCCUCUGUCCUCCCCCUCCCCCAAAAGCUUUGUCCCAGCCCCCUACCCACUGGGACCUCUGUUUGUAGUCAGAGUUUGUUUGGCUACUUCCUUUGCAACCCCCACCCCCAACCUUUUUCUGCAUGGUAGAUGAAAAAUUGAAAGUACCUCUGAUUGGUCCCUUUCCACAACCAAUGAGGCUGGUCAUGGGCCAAGUCUUCAUUUGCAUAGGAGUAUAACUUUGUAACUUCACUUCAGCCUUUUCCCAAUCAAUCAGAGAUUUGCAUAGGGUGUAACUUUGAAACUUGCUUCAGCCUCUGAUAGGUCCCCUCCCUCAACCAAUCAGACUGAUUGUGGGCACUACUUCAUUUACAAGGGUGUACAUCAAGUAACCAAUGGGAAACCUCUAGAGGAUAUUUAACCCCCAAAAAAUUCGGUAACCAGGCUCUUGAACCACUUGCUCAAGCCACUCCCACCCUGUGAAGUGUACCUUCAUUUUCAAUAAAUCUCUGCUUUUGUUGCCUCAUUCUUUCCUUGCUUUCUUUGUGCAUUUUGUCCAAUUCUUUGUUCAUGACACCAAGAACCUGGACACCCUUCUCGGGUAACAAACCCACUUCUAAAAUAAUGGCAUUAAUCCAUUCAUGAG
rnacentral:lncRNA from 10 species